rnacentral:rRNA from 1 species
ACCCUGGGGAUAACAGGCUUAUCUCCCCCAAGAGUCCACAUCGACGGGGAGGUUUGGCACCUCGAUGUCGGCUCAUCACAUCCUGGGGCUGUAGUAGGUCCCAAGGGUUGGGCUGUUCGCCCAUUAACGUGGUACGCGAGCUGGGUUCAGAACGUCGUGAGACAGUUCGGUCCCUAUCCGUCGCAGGCGUAGGAAAUUUGAGAAGACCUGUCCUUAGUACGAGAGGACCGGGAUGGACGUACCUCUGGUGUACCAGUUGU